rnacentral:rRNA from 1 species
GGUAUUUUGACCGUGCAAAGGUAGCAUAAUCAUUAGUUUUUUAAUUGAAAGCUGGAAUGAAAGGUUGGAUGAAAAAUAAGCUGUCUCUAUUUAAAUUUAUUAGAAUUUUAUUUUUAAGUUAAAAAGCUUAAAUUUUAAUGGAAGACGAGAAGACCCUAUAGAGUUUUAUUUAUUUAAUAAGUAAAAAUAAUAGUAUCGAUUAUUUUUACUUAUAAGAUAAAUUUAGUUGGGGUGAUUGAAAAAUUUAAUAAACUUUUUUUAUGUAUAUACAUUGAUUUAUGAUUAUUUGAUCCUUGAUUUAAGAUUAAAAGAUAAAAUUACCUUAGGGAUAACAGCGUAAUUUUUUUUGAGAGUUCUAAUCGAAAGAAAAGAUUGCGACCUCGAUGUUGGAUUAAAAUAAAAUUUUGGUGUAGAAGCUAAAA